GACGAACGCUGGCGGCGUGCUUAACACAUGCAAGUCGAACGGAAAGGCCUGCUUUCCCUUGUGGAUUGCGGGUACUCGAGUGGCGAACGGGUGAGUAACACGUGAGUGAUCUGCCCCCAACUUGGGUAUAAGCCUGGGAAACUGGGUCUAAUUCCCGAUAGGACUGCAGGGUGGUGCCUGUGGUGGAAAACGAUUUUCUAGUGGUUGGGGAUGAGCUCGCGGCCUAUCAGCUUGUUGGUGGGGUAAUGGCCUACCAAGGCGGCGACGGGUAGCCGGCCUGGGAGGGUGGACGGCGACAUUGGGACUGGGAUACGGCCCAGACUCCUACGGGAGGCAGCAGUGGGGAAUAUUGCACAAUGGGCGGAAGCCUGAUGCAGCGACGCCGCGUGGGGGAUGACGGCCUUCGGGUUGUAAACUCCUUUCGACCGCGAGGAAGCCACCUGGUUGGAAGGGUGGUGACGGUAGUGGUAGAAGAAGCACCGGCUAACUACGUG
rnacentral:rRNA from 1 species